rnacentral:rRNA from 1 species
GUGCCAGCCGCCGCGGUAAUACGUAAGGAGCGAGCGUUGUCCGGAUUUACUGGGCGUAAAGGGCUCGUAGGUGGUUUCUUAGGUCUCACGUGAAAUUCCCUGGCUCAACCAGGGAGGGUCGUGGGAAACCGAGAGGCUAGAGGGCAGGAGAGGAGAGUGGAAUUCCCGGUGUAGCGGUGAAAUGCGUAGAGAUCGGGAGGAACACCAGUGGUGAAGACGGCUCUCUGGACUGUCCCUGACACUGAGGAGCGAAAGCCAGGGGAGCAAACCGGAUUAGAUACCCGGGUAGUCCUGGCCGUAAACGAUGGGUACUAGGUGUGGGGGGUUCGACCCCCUCCGUGCCGCAGUUAACGCAUUAAGUACCCCGCCUGGGGAGUACGGCCGCAAGGUUGAAACUCAAAUAAAUUGACGG